rnacentral:rRNA from 1 species
GAUGAACGCUGGCGGCGUGCCUAAUACAUGCAAGUCGAGCGAAGCGGGGACGGGUGAGUAACACGUGGAUAACCUCCUAUAAGACUGGGAUAACUUCGGGAAACCGGAGCUAAACCGGAUACUUAUCGAUGGCUCCGCGCUGCAUUAGCUAGUUGGUAAGGUAACGGCUUACCAAGGCAACGAUGCAUAGCCGACCUGAGAGUGUGAGCGGCCAAAUUGGAACGGAGACACGAGCCAGACGCCUACGGGCGGCAGCAGUAGGGAAUCUUCCGCAAUGGGCGAAAGCCUGACGGAGAAACGCCGCGUGAGUGAUGAAGGUUUUCGGAUCGUAAAACUCUGUUGUAAGAGAAGCGGUACCUAAUAAGAAAGCCACGGCUAACUACGUGCCAGCAGCCGAGGUAAUAA